rnacentral:rRNA from 1 species
GACGAACGCUGGCGGCGUGCUUAACACAUGCAAGUCGAACGGUAAGGCCCUUCGGGGUACACGAGUGGCGAACGGGUGAGUAACACGUGGGUGAUCUGCCCUGCACUUCGGGAUAAGCCUGGGAAACUGGGUCUAAUACCGGAUAGGACCACCGCCUGCUUGGGUGGUGGUGGAAAGCUUUUGCGGUGUGGGAUGGGCCCGCGGCCUAUCAGCUUGUGGGUGGGGUGAUGGCCUACCAAGGCGACGACGGGUAGCCGGCCUGAGAGGGUGACCGGCCACACUGGGACUGAGAUACGGCCCAGACUCCUACGGGAGGCAGCAGUGGGGAAUAUUGCACAAUGGGCGCAAGCCUGAUGCAGCGACGCCGCGUGAGGGAUGACGGCCUUCGGGUUGUAAACCUCUUUCAGCACCGACGAAGCGCAAGUGACGGUAGGUGCAGAAGAAGGACCGGCCAACUACGUGCCAGCAGCCGCCGUAA